rnacentral:tRNA from 1 species
GGAGGUCUUAGCUUAAUUAAAGUAUCUGAGUUGCAGUCAGAAGAUGUAUCUGUAAUUACAGGCCUUC